UACGUAGGGGGCUAGCGUUGUCCGGAAUCAUUGGGCGUAAAGAGCGUGUAGGCGGUCCGGUAAGUCCGUUGUGAAAGUCAGGGGCUCAACCCUUGAAUGCCGGCGGAUACUGUCGGGCUAGAGUCCGGAAGAGGCGAGUGGAAUUCCCGGUGUAGCGGUGAAAUGCGCAGAUAUCGGGAGGAACACCUAUGGCGAAGGCAGCUCGCUGGGACGGUACUGACGCUGAGACGCGAAAGCGUGGGGAGCGAACAGG
rnacentral:rRNA from 1 species